UGCAGUCGAACGCAGUAGCAAUACUGAGUGGCGGACGGGUGAGUAUAAUGUGGGUAUCUGCCUUUUGGUUUGGAAUAACACGAGGAAACUUGUGCUAAUACCGGAUAAGCCUUUACAGGGAAAGCUUUAGCGCCAAAAGAUGAGCCCAUACUUGAUUAGCUAGUUGGUGAGGUAAUAGCUCACCAAGGCAACGAUCAAUAGCUGUUCUUAGAGGAAGACCAGCCACAUUGGGACUGAGACACGGCCCAGACUCCUACGGGAGGCAGCAGUGGGGAAUCUUGCACAAUGGGGGAAACCCUGAUGCAGCGAUGCCGCGUGAGUGAAGAAGGCCUUUGGGUUGUAAAGCUCUUUCGUCGGGGAAGAAAAUGACUGUACCCGAAUAAGAAGGUCCGGCUAACUUCGUGCCAGCAGCCGCGGUAAUACGAAGGGACCUAGCGUAGUUCGGAAUUACUGGGCUUAAAGAGCUCGUAGGUGGUUAAAAAAGUUGGUGGUGAAAGCCCAAGGCUUAACCUUGGAACUGCCACCAAAACUUUUUGACUAGAGUGUGAUAGAGGUAAGUGGAAUUUCUAGUGUAGAGGUGAAAUUCGUAGAUAUUAGAAAGAACACCGAUUGCGAAGGCAACUUUCUGGAUCAUUACUGACACUGAGGAGCGAAAGCAUGGGUAGCGAAGAGGAUUAGAUACCCUCGUAGUCCAUGCUGUAAACGAUGUGUGCUAGACGUUGGGAAUUUUAUUUUCAGUGUCGCAGCAAAAGCGUUAAGCACACCG
rnacentral:rRNA from 1 species